rnacentral:rRNA from 1 species
AAAAACAUCGCCUCCUGCAAAAAUCCACGUAUAGGAGGUCCUACCUGCCCAGUGACUUAGUUUUUAACGGCCGCGGUAUUUUGACCGUGCAAAGGUAGCGCAAUCACUUGUCUUUUAAAUAAAGACCUGUAUGAAUGGUGAGACGAGGGCUUAACUGUCUCCCUUUUCCAAUCAAUGAAAUUGAUCUACCCGUGCAGAAGCGGGUAUAAAUAUACAAGACGAGAAGACCCUAUGGAGCUUAAGACAUAAAGUCACCUGUGCAAAAAUCCUUAAUAAAAAGAAUAAAGCUAAACACUAACUGACUAACGUCUUUGGUUGGGGCGACCGCGGAGAAAAAAAAAUCCUCCACGUGGAAUGGAUUACCCUAAACCACGAAAUACACCUCUAAGUCACAGAACUUCUGACCAAACGAUCCGGUGUAAACCGAUCAACGAACCAAGUUACCCUAGGGAUAACAGCGCAAUCCUCUUCAAGAGUCCAUAUCGACAAGGGGGUUUACGACCUCGAUGUUGGAUCAGGACAUCCUAAUGGUGUAGCCGCUAUUAAGGGUUCGUUUGUUCAACGAUUAAAGUCCUACGUGAU